GCUUCUAGGAUCAGAGGAUGUCGAGAUGGAAGGGCCUAAUAACAAUGACUGACUGAUUCACCCAAGAGAUUUUUAUUUUUGCCUUUUUUUUUUCUUUUAAUAGAGAAUGAAAGUAUGAUCUUAGAGGAAAAACAGACCCCCAGGAAUUCAAGCAUCCUGGUGCCUGUGGUAAUUGCUUCCUGAGGGUCCUGACUCUGCUGAUAACUGCAGACACCUGUCCUCUGCAGAAGCAGUUGGCAUAUCACACACCCAGGCACACGUCUGUGCAGGCUUAUAAACACCUGCAGUAGGACAUGCUUUCUCCACUCUGUCUGGACACAAACCGCAGUCCAUGGCAACCAAAGAGGCCCUCUGGCUUCCACACCUGGCUUUCAACUGCCUGUGACUCUUCAUCCGAUCUUCAUCUUCAUGCAGAGCACCAGUGGCACUUAGUAAUAACCAUCCGACAACAUCAUCCUUCCCUCCACACACUGCAAACACCUGGAGUAUCUACACAGAUGAUCGUUUAACAGGGAAGAACAUGGUAGUUACCACAACGUGACGAGAUCCCUGGCCUGUGUAUCUUCUCAAAACCUCAAGUCUGGUUUAGCCAAGAGCUAGAGAUGACCAGGGGACAGUGGUCAGCCUGGGAUGGCUCUGCCACACCUGGAAUCACCGCUGAGUGAAGGGCCUGUGGAGACCACAACACUCUGAGAAGUCCACAGCAAUUCCAGGCUGUAACACAAGGGCAGGGAAUGCAUCCUCUUCAUCUCUGUAACUCAAGCCUUACAUGACAGCAGCCUGGUCUCCCAAGAGCCUUUGACGGUAAAGGCAGCUGAUGGUGCGGAGCAAGGAUUCAGCAGCAUCACACACACCUUCCGUGAUUCUGCCCAGAUCGCCUUGCCUUGACCUGAUCCCAUCAAGAAGCCUCACUGAAAGCUGAGUGACCUGAGUACAAAGGCUUCAGAUCUUCCUACCUCACGGCCGGCCCAGCCCUCCUUCCUGUUGUCCAGCACAGCAUCCGGCAAAGGCCAUUACCCUUAUUUAAGGGCAGAUGAACUGUACACCACCCAGAGGUGUGGACUUCCUAGAGCAAGCAAGACCCAGCCCACCACCAGCUGUGGCUAAGCCAGCUUCAUCCUAGUUCCUGACCCUGCAAACAGGCACAGAAGCCAUCUCCCAUCCUUGCCUCAACCCACCAUAUCCUUCACCCUGCACUAUGUUAUAAGCUCCG